UACGUAGGGUGCGAGCGUUGUCCGGAAUUAUUGGGCGUAAAGAGCUCGUAGGCGGCUUGCCGCGUCGGAUGUGAAAGCCCGGGGCUUAACCCCGGGUCUGCAUUCGAUACGGGCAGGCUAGAGUGUGGUAGGGGAGAUCGGAAUUCCUGGUGUAGCGGUGAAAUGCGCAGAUAUCAGGAGGAACACCGGUGGCGAAGGCGGUUCUCUGGGCCUUACCUGACGCUGAGGAGCGAAAGCGUGGGGAGCGAACAGG
rnacentral:rRNA from 1 species